UGGGACAAAGCUGCUUUUCUUUUUUGCUGGAGGCGGAAGGGGUACUUAUAGCCCCAGGAGCUACCUCGGUGUCCUGAUGGGGAAGGCACCUCUCUGUUGCAGUUUCAGGAAGGUGGAGACAAAUGUGGACGGGUGUCAUGAAGACAAUGAGAUGCCUAGCCUGAACUCAAACUUGGGAUCCUUUACAGAGCGCUGGAAUUACAAGCAUGUGCCGCUACAACAGACCCCAGACUGAGGAGUUAAUACACACGGAAGGCCGGGAACUGCACACCUGACCCCGACCACUGAACCAGGCCACCAGACGUGGACAGAGGCACAGGGAGCUGUCUACAGCAAGUGGAUGCUGUGCUGAAACGCGCAAGCUAAAGCCAGAUUUCGGGGUCAUCUGCGGCCUCAGUUAUCCUGGCUUUCUUUUAUCUCUCCCAUCUCGCUCUGGCUUUGUAGCGGGAGUUAACUCGAGUAUCCACCACGCUGCACUUGGCGGGGCCUUGGCCGCGGAGAGAUGGCCCCGCCGUCCUUGCCUCCUUCUUUUCCCUCCCUGGACUCCCUCUGGCUGCCCGGUCAAGGUAGAGGAGCCAGCUCACCCAGGAUGGGUGUGAGAGACAAGACAGCCGUCUCCAGAGGCCGCCUCUCAGGGCGGUUUGUUUGGUUUUGAGAGUAAAUAAAUAGCAACCGAUUCUUUCACCCUAUGGCAGGCUCCCACAAGGUGUUGACAAAGUGUUCUGUGCAGACAGGUGGAGCUCAAAGCUGGGAUGGGAUCUGAACAGCACAAAGGAGAGGAAAGACCCCGGUGGCUGAGGGGUGGGGCUCCGGAAGGCGUGGUGAGGCUCCUGACUCCUGGUGACCACCCACUUCGCAAACUAGUGUUUCGCUGGCUCUGGGCUUGAGUUGAGAGGAUUUGGGAUCUGUGGGGCGUCCUGAGUCCUGUUUAGGGCCGCGGUGAUCAGGUAUCAGAUAUUGAGGUGUCAGGUGACCUGAUUGGGUAUUGAGGCAGCUGGAGGCCAAGGCAGACCCGGGACCUGGCCAUACCGGGGCGGCUCCAGCUGUGCUGGGCCCUGGUGACCCAGGAGACAGCUCUGCCAGGGGUGUCUGAAAGCACGGCGGGCCGCAGACUCAGCCAGCCGGCCAGAGGCAAAACGAAAACCUCGGCCUUGUUUGAAAGUUAGUAAGAAUUUCAGGCUUGCUCUUUUCUCUUCCCUGCACUAUGAAGCCCACUUCCAAUCUGCCGGUGUCUCCCUUUCCCCUCCCGCUGCCUGGUCACAAGCAGACACGCACUUGUCUACAGUAGAGAAAGGCUUCUGCACUCCAUUUUAUCUGAUGGGUAAUUGAGUUUUCACUUUAUUUUGCUCCAUUUCAUGAUAACUUAUUCUUCUCAGAUUACUUGAAAGUAUAAUUUUGUUGAUUUUGUAGAAAUAGCAACAAGUAUCCCCUUGCCCAGCGCACAUAUAUAUUUAAACAGUUCUGAAAAUAAAAUGCAUAUUACAAUUUGGAGGGUCAUGAUCUAUUUUACAGCUUUUUUUUUUAUGGAACAUA